UACGUAGGUGGCAAGCGUUGUCCGGAUUUACUGGGCGUAAAGAGCGCGCAGGCGGCCAAGUCAGUCGAAUGUGAAAGCCCCCGGCUUAACUGGGGAGGGUCAUUCGAUACUGCUCGGCUCGAAGACAGGAGAGGGAAGCGGAAUUCCCGGUGUAGUGGUGAAAUGCGCAGAUAUCGGGAAGAACACCCGUGGCGAAGGCGGUUCUCUGGGACGGUACUGACGCUGAGACGCGAAAGCGUGGGGAGCGAACAGG
rnacentral:rRNA from 1 species